UACGGGAGUGGCAAGCGUUAUCCGGAAUUAUUGGGCGUAAAGCGUCCGCAGGCGGCCCUGUAAGUCUGCUGUCAAAGCGUGGAGCUUAACUCCAUUUCGGCAGUGGAAACUACAGGGCUUGAGUGUGGUAGGGGCAGAGGGAAUUCCCGGUGUAGCGGUGAAAUGCGUAGAUAUCGGGAAGAACACCAGUGGCGAAGGCGCUCUGCUGGGCCAUAACUGACGCUCAUGGACGAAAGCCAGGGGAGCGAAAGGG
rnacentral:rRNA from 1 species